UACGUAGGGGGCGAGCGUUAUCCGGAAUUACUGGGCGUAAAGCGCACGCAGGCGGUUCGCCAAGUUUGGAGUGACAGUUGUCGGCUCAACCGACAAAGGACUUCAAAAACUGGUGAACUUGAGGACGAGAGAGGAACAUGGAACUCCAGGUGUAGUAGUGAAAUGCGUAGAUAUCUGGAAGAACACCAAUGGCGAAGGCAAUGUUCUGGCUCGUUUCUGACGCUCAGGUGCGAAAGCCAGGGGGA
rnacentral:rRNA from 1 species